rnacentral:lncRNA from 1 species
ACCUUUUUUCUUGUUUUCUCUUUUAGGUAGUGCCAUUUCCCUGUAGCAAGAGGAAAGCAAGCUGCAGAACAGCCAAGACCUCUGCACACCCACCUUGAGGCUCAUCUUGAGAAAUCCAGAAUGUUUUUCAAAGAGAUGAAGGGCCGGCAGCGGGAUUUAGAGCUGCAGCGGCAGAGAGGUGAGCGCAAAAUCCAGCAGCUGCAGCAGAUGAUCGCUGAGCUCGAGAAGGACAAGGGCUUUGGACCCAGAGCCUGGCAGGAGCAUGGUGCUGGGGAGGCCCUUCCCCCUGCCCUGGAGAAGCUUCAGGGGCAUCACAGUCAGCUGGAGAACUUCAGGCAGCAGCUGCUGCAUGUGGCUGGGCUUCUGACCAGCUUCAUAAACCAAACCCUUAACAGAACAAUCAAUGACUGGACAUCAUGAGAUAAAGGGGCUGCAACGUCCUUGCUGUUUAUUCUGGAGGAAUUGAAAUCAGAAUUGAUGUCAGGCCUCACUCAAAUAAGUUGGAGCCACAGUCCUCAUUGGAAAUGAGUGAGGCCCCCAAGGGAAGUGGGAGAGAUAUCCUUGCCCACCAUGCUGUGACUAGGUGGCAAAUGUGUCAGAUGCGGGGUCUCCUGCUCCUUCCUCUGAAGUCUGCCUUUGAAAAAAAAUUUUAAAAAGGCCAGCUGGUGAUGCCCAGUGGCAGGAGGAAGAAGUUGCUCCUCUUUGUCUUGGGGAUGCUGUUGCUUGUGGCUUCGCUGGCUCAUGGUGCUUGCUAUUUCUACCCCUCUGGACUCCAUAACAUCCAUCCUGCUAUGCUCUCCUGGUGGGCAGCCAAGGGUAGCAGCAGGAGAGAGGACAUGUGGGAAUCAGGAGAAUUCACCCCAUAUUUGCAGGUGAGCCCUGAGUGCCAGGAACUUUGCACAGGACACAGACACCACUCACCAUCCAGUUCAUUCUCUUUAACUAGGGUUACUCAGCCAAGCAGCACUUAUAAGCAUGGCCUACUGUGGGUCAGGUGCUGUCCUAAAGCAAAACCAAAC